GCCGGCGACCAUACCACGUUGAAAGCACCGGUUCUCGUCCGAUCACCGCAGUUAGGCAACGUUGGGCCCGGUCAGUACUUACAUCCAGCCGACGAGUCUCAAAUAGGAUGAAACGCAUGUUCUGGAU
rnacentral:rRNA from 1 species